rnacentral:rRNA from 1 species
GAACGCUGGCGGCGUGCCUAAUACAUGCAAGUCGAACGGUCUUUCUAUGGAAGCUUGCUCCACUGAAAAGAUAGUGGCGAACGGGUGAGUAACACGUGGGUAACCUGCCCAUAAGAGGGGGAUAACAUCCGGAAACGGGUGCUAAUACCGCAUAGUUUUCUUGAUCGCAUGAUCGGGAAAGGAAAGACGGCCUUUGUGCUGUCGCUUAUGGAUGGACCCGCGGCGUAUUAGUUAGUUGGUGAGGUAACGGCUCACCAAGACGAUGAUACGUAGCCGACCUGAGAGGGUGAUCGGCCACAUUGGGACUGAGACACGGCCCAAACUCCUACGGGAGGCAGCAGUAGGGAAUCUUCCGCAAUGGACGAAAGUCUGACGGAGCAACGCCGCGUGAGUGAAAGAAGGUUUUCGGAUCGUAAAACUCUGUUGUCAGAGAAGAACAAGUUGGAGAGUAACUGCUCCAGCCUUGACGGUAUCUGACCAGAAAGCCACGGCUAACUACGUGCCAGCCGCCGC